rnacentral:rRNA from 1 species
UACGGGGGGGGCAAGCGUUGUUCGGAAUUACUGGGCGUAAAGGGCUCGUAGGUGGCCAACUAAGUCAGACGUGAAAUCCCUCGGCUUAACUGGGGAACUGCGUCUGAUACUGGAUGGCUUGGAUUUGGGAGAGGGAUGCGGAAUUCCAGGUGUAGCGGUGAAAUGCGUAGAUAUCUGGAGGAACACCGGUGGCGAAGGCGGCAUCCUGGACCAACAUUGACGCUGAGGAGCGAAAGCCAGGGGAGCAAACGGG